AUGGGCCGGUCCACCACCGAUCGCUUCGCCAUGGCGCAGUACCUCCUAGUGGCUCUCAUCGUCGUCGUCGUCGCGAGCAACAGCAAGCACGAGGCAGUCGCCGCCAAUACGCUUUUCGUCGUCCAGCUGCAAGGACACGGCCCCGCUGGCCACAAGAUCUCUGUGCCCUUGCGGAAACAUGACUUCUUCCUCACCGGCUGCACCGACGGGAGCGGCCAUUGUCAGGCCUUCCCAGGCCACGAGCACCUGUUUCCUGCGUCCACGACCCUCCCUUUCGCCAGAAGCUACCGCCAGCACAUCGACGGCCUCCUGAACCUACCGUGCGUGCGGCUGAGUAGGGACGCCAUGGUGCACGCGACCCCGGUUCUCCCAGCCUACGCCGAGCUGGCGGCCAUGAAGGCGAUGCUAUGCGAGGCCCAGCUUCUCCAGUCCAUCCGCGAGACGGUGACCGGCGGAUGGAUGAACGGGAUCAUCGUCGCACCCCAGCACCUGCAUGCCCUACAUCGAGCACUCCUACCGACUAAGCUCCUGGAGCAGAUGGACCGUAGCACCAAGCUUAUCUUUGAAGUCUAUGUUCACGCAACCACCUCAAAUGCUGGUAAAUCAGGUGAUAAAGCAAGGCUUCUGCCGGUACAAAGGAUGAUCUACAGCUGCAAAGAGACCAUCGAUGACACACCAGUGCUCGUAGGGAAGCCCAGUACCUUAAGUGAGCAUCAACGUAUCGGCAAAGGAAAAGCCUCGCAUUUGUCGUUGUCGCUUGUUCAUGGCAGCAAGCAAGUCCUGACAACCACAAACAUGUACGAGGAUUCUAUGUAUGGCGUGAUGACAGGAUCGGAUCAGAUGAUAUGUCAAGCUGUGUUAACUGCCUUUGCAGGUAAACCAGGUGAUAAAGCAAGGCUUCUGCCGGUACAAAGGAUGAUCUGCAGCUGCAAAGAGACGACCAAUGACACACUAGUGCUCACCGGGAAGCCCACUACCUUAAGCAAACUAGUCCUGACAACCACAAGCAUGUACGAAGAUAUCCAGGUUGGUUCUGUUUAUGGGGUGCUGAGAGGAUCGGAUCAGAUGAUAUACGAAGCUGUGUUAACUGCCUUUGCAGCUGCCAUAAUCGCGUGCUGCACCAUCAAAAGCACGUCUGCGACCCGUAGAUCUCUCGGCAAGAAAGCAUGCAUCAUGCUUGCAGUCGCCCUUAUUCUUGCCUCAAUCACGCACGUAAGCUGCAACGAUGACGAUGACGAGGAUCCUGAUCCCCAGCCUGGAGCUGGAGACAAUCCCCAGCCAAUACAAGGACUAGUAAGUAUCGCCUUGGACUUCACCAUGAAGGAUGAAGGUGCCUCUAUACCCUUUCUCAAACAGUUUGAAGAUGGGCUGGCAGCAAACACCUUACCUGAUGAAUGGGGGCACUAUUUUACUCCCGAAGAAGCAGUAGACACACCGCUGCUUAGGUGGUUGGUUGUCCAGGUGCCAGGCAAAAAAGUAGUUGCUAACGUAUUGUUCAGAGGGGAUAAUGGGAACAAUGUGGGCUUCAUUAAUGGAUAUGGAACCUCCUGGUGCACGUCAGACGCCAUAGAGAAGAAUAUUUUCCCAUUCAAAGUCUGCAAGGACUUGGAGUUCAACGGUGAUUACCGUGGUCUCACUAAUAUGCCUGAGGGGGAUAGUAAAGUACUUUCAGAAGUAUAUAUAGGCCAGGAAGCGGCAUUGGAGGCAGCAGAGGUGCUCGCAGAGUAUGGAGAGAGCAUGUUUGAUAAGGAAUUGGCAAGGAAGUCCAUGCUUCAACUCAGAAUAAUCAUCUCCGAGUCCGCGAGACUGAAGCCUGUCGGGGACAUAGUGAAACAUAGGUGGUCAACCCUAACGAAGCUUAAACCGGAGGUUGUUCAACUAUUUCCUUUAUGGAACGACCUCUCGGUGGCACAUUGUCUUGGGAAUAUAUGGAUCACCGAGGACCAGUAUGGCGGUGGGAGACUCAUAAAUGCCGGGAUAAGAACCAUUGCAGAUGUUAACAACACGCUGGAUAUCGUCAAAUAUAUCCCUAAGUACUGUAAGGGCAAGAGGAUCGAAAGGUAA
rnacentral:rRNA from 1 species